rnacentral:lncRNA from 1 species
UGAUAUUAGCAGUCUUCAGAUCCAACCAAGACUCAAUCAGACAUCAUGAAUGGAGGUCCUCUUACAUCAAAUAUUUCACGGGUUGGCAAAACAACUGCAAGAACAGCGGUCAGUAGCCCUUGUUUCCUCGAAUCCUUGCUCUCGUGUCAACAUGGGCAAAAAGUUAAAUGAGGAGUUAGAGAGGUACAUUGCUUAUUCAGCUCCUCUCGUGGAAAUCAUAUCAUUGAUCGGCAUAAUGAAUUGUCAACAAGUCCCACACACGAAACUACCCCCGUGCGCAUGACAUCAAACGCCAGCUGUCGCAUGCAAACGAUAAAACGCACAGGAAGAAAGAGUCAGAGAAACCCCAUAAAUCGAACAAAAACAUAUUCCGCCAUUUACAAUCUCGAUCAAAUGCGUAAUGCGUUGGGAGUCAAUGUUUGCGAUGACAUCAGGCGCGAGCUGUCGGCCGAAAUGAUGGGACGCCCUAUCAAUUUCGGCUCACAAACGUGCAUUGCAACGGAGUCGAUGUUCGCGAUGUGUUGUCGUCCUUUACCAGCUAAUCUGUAGGGAAAGGCAUAGUCACCAAAGGCACGGGGCUCUCGUAGCAAAGAGGACGAUAUCGAGAUGAUCGUUCGAUUGACCCGUUACAGAAGUUAUGCGAAGCUUCUUCCAUCGCUAGAAAGAUGAUGAAGUUGCAGUCACUUUUAGGGAAGUUUCAUGGCGACCUGUUAAAGCUUAGUUAAUUGUCAAAAAGAUGGAACUGGGCAGCCAAAUAGCGAAAGCGGAUGGCCCCAUCUCGUGUUCUUUGCAAUCCUUUGAUUGGUUUACGUUCUCUAACGGGUGGCUGCAUCAUUGGACUAAGAAAAAGAUUUAAUCAGAUGAGAUCACAUGGUUCCCCGAUGAGCAAGGCUUGAUGCACCGACAAGGAAGUCGAACGCGGAGACGUAGACAAAACCUUGUGACCUAAUCUCUCAAAUCAUCUGGAAAAGGUAAGCAUCAGCUUCACGUCCACUUCAACUCCCUCACAAAACUAAGAAAGAUAAAGAAACGAAUAAGUUUAAUCAAUUCAGACGUCAUGACCACGGUUGUUCUUUGGUGCAUGUGAACGGAGGGAAAGAAAAGUUGUACAUGCACAGAUAUCCCACGUUCAAUCAUCCCAUUAAUUAAUUGGAAAUUACGACGAGAUGACAAAUGGCAGGCUCCUCGCAUUCAAUUUUUUUUCGGAUUUUUUUUUAGUUGUUGUUGGUUUUUAGUUGAAAGCUGAGCUGUUAUCUUGACCUUAUUCCAUCUUUUGAUCCAUAUAAAUACGACCACUUCCGCUUUCUGGCUCCUUCAGUAUCUGACUGCAUAUUUUUUCAGUUUGUUUUGGGAGAGAAGUGAUUUCAGGCAAUGGCUCCUUGGUUUAAUUCGAGAGACCAGUCCGCGGUUGGAGUCGUGGCGGUGAUAGCUGCGUGCGUUCUGUAUGCUGGUGUCGCCUCUGCUGGACGGCCAGCGACGAACGUUAGCAUGGACCUGCUCCUUGCAAGAGGCGGAAUCAGAAGAAAGCUUCUCAAGAACGGCCUCGGUUUGACUCCUCAAAUGGGGUAUGAGACUGUACUGCUCAUUUCUCUCUGGUUAACCUUCUUGUGAUGGAACUGAUUGAUCAAAUGGAUAGAACUAAUCAUAAUUCGAAUAUGAAGAAAGAAGAUACGAACCUUUCUGCUCUUCGGCCUGGAUUAGUAUAGUCAUAAAAAUAAGUGGGAAAAUGUUCUCGUUUCCAUCAAUUAUGCGAGACUCGUACGAGACUAAGCAUGCCACUUUUCUCAGUUUUUCACUUUUAACUUUUAUGUCAUGCUUUUUCAAGUAGGAUUUCAUCCGCAACGAGAAGUAGAAACAGAAAAUUAGAGAGCUAAUAAUUAGAUUUGCACAUUAAAUGAUCACUGGAAUUGCAGUUUAUUGGCUUCCCGUGAUGAUCAUGCAACAGAUGAUUAAGGGUCACCAAUGUCAGGGAGCAGUUGAGAGCUCUAAUACCAAAAAAGCAGAUCUUGCAAGCUGUUGUUUCGAUAUGGUUUAUUUUAGUCGACACAUUACAUUUAGAUUCCUGGGUUUCAACUUUGUGACAUCAAAUGAGACAAAAAGUUUCACGUGAUGUAUGACUCUUGCGUGCAUAGACCUUCCAUGCCCUUCAUUAUAUAGUUUUGUACGAUGCAUUUGGACCUUGGAGUGUACUAUAUUACUAUUGUAUUGUUUAGAGAAUCUGAUCAUGGUGUGACGUCUUUUUCGCCAACUUCUUGCAACAAAAAGAGAAAAUGCUAUUGCUUGCAUUAGCAAAAUGUUGUGUCCAACACUUUAUUUGCUUCUAUGGAUUCCCAAGAGGCAUUUCACACCAGAUAAAAUGGGAUACUGAUUUUCUAGCUGAUGUUUGAUCUGAUUUGGGCAAUUUGAUUCCAACAGAUGGAAUAGCUGGAACCACUUUCACUGUGACAUCAACGAAAAUAUGAUAAAGGAAACAGGUAACUUGAUCAACACGCACCAAUGGAAUCGAUCAAAAACUUUGCAGGAUUUAAUCUGGCUAAUUUAAUAACGCUUUCUUUGAAUGUCACAGCGGAUGCGAUGGUCUCAUCCGGACUUGCUGCACUAGGAUAUGAGUAUGUAAACUUAGGUGCGUUGACAUGUUUUUGCUCGUGUAGAAUCAUAAACUGUAUAAAGCAUUGUACGAAUAUUUAUUGUUUCUGCUUCUUUUCCCUCGUUUUCCUCUUAAAGAUGAUUGCUGGGGUGAACUUAACAGAGAUUCUCAGGUACACUCCUAUAUCUUGUCUCGCUACCGUAUGAUAAGAGUAUAAAAUUGGUUAAGAGUUAUCAAAAGGAGGGAAAUUCCAUAAUUGUGGCAGGGUAAUUUGGUUGCCAAGGCUUCAGCAUUUCCAUCUGGAAUUAAGGCAUUAGCUGAUUAUGUUCACAGCAAAGGCCUCAAGCUUGGGAUUUACUCAGAUGCUGGGUAUGGCCGUAACAUUAACUAAAGCAAGUCUUUUUAUGUUCAUUACAUUAGGCGAAAGAGAACAGGAAAAGAGAAAACCAUCGUUUGAUUACCAUAUAAAGUUCGAUCUAGUCUCUUUUUGUAGAUCUCAAACAUGCAGUCAAACAAUGCCUGGAUCGCUCGGUCAUGAAGAGCAAGAUGCGAAAACUUUGGCUUCCUGGGUACAAUUCAGUAGUGUCUGAAGAAGUGAACCAUUAUUAAUCUGCAUCGUCCCACCCACUCGCGCACUCGCUCACUCUAAUGUUUUCUAUCUGGCAGGGGGUUGAUUACUUGAAGUAUGAUAAUUGUAACAGCCCCGGUACGAGUCCCAAGGAAAGGUGUGCAGUUUCUUCUGAUUUCUUUGCGCUUUAACUGCCGAAUAUCCUCAUUUAGGACAUAACAUAUAUACCAAAUUCAUUAAGCAGAAUUUUGAAAGUGGCUCUGCCAUUACUAAUCAAUGUUGAACUUUUCCUUUCCUAACUUAAACUACUUUGCUAAAGGUACCCAGUAAUGAGCAAAGCCCUGUUGAACUCUGGAAGAAAAAUCUUCUUCUCUCUCUGUGAAUGGUGAGUUGAGCCUUUUGCAGGAUUAAUUUUCUCAUCCAUCAUUUGCGCUUAUUGACAUAAGCCAGAGAGAACUUAUUUGUUGCACCAAAACUUCAGGGGACAAGAAGACCCAGCAACUUGGGCUUCGUCCAUUGGGAAUAGCUGGAGAACAACCGGAGAUAUUUCGGACAACUGGGACAGGUGACUGAAUAUGAACAUAAAAUCUGCUUCAUGUCCUAAUUGCUGCAUGUAAUCAAAACAGAAAAAGUGAUCUAAUUUGCAAAUCUCUCUGCAUAAUGGAAUGGAACCAUUCUCGUGAUUAAGUUUCACUAUCCGGGAAUUAGUGUCUGUCGACAUAAACCAACGAAAUGAACGACUCUGCGAUCCUUUCAGCUCAUGUGUUUACGACUUCACUUCUGACGUGAUAAAUAAGUGACGGGAAUCUCCUCUUUGCAUCAGCAUGAUAUCUCGGGCAGAUCUGAAUGAUAAAUGGGCAUCUUAUGCUGGACCUGGAGGAUGGAAUGGUAAUGAUGUUCAUCAUUUUAUUUUUUUAGUUUGACAUUUUUGAAAAUCGAACAGAGAGAUUGGAAGAGAGGAACUUGCAAGAUGAACAAUCAACAAGUCAUUUUGGAAUUCAAUUGUGUUCAGAUCCUGACAUGCUUGAAGUCGGAAAUGGUGGAAUGACCACAGAAGAAUACCGUUCGCAUUUCAGCAUAUGGGCAUUGGUCAAGGUAUGAACAAGACACAUAUUGAAAUAAACAGACACCUAAGACACGUUUUUGCUGAGUUUUUGUUUUUUUUUUUUUUUUGGGUCCUUCUGAACAGGCUCCGUUGUUGAUUGGUUGUGAUGUGCGAUCGAUGGACAAAACGACCAUCAUGUUGCUGAGCAACAAGGAAGUUAUUGCUGUUAAUCAAGGUAUCGACAAAUUGUGUUACAAUGGAAUGCCCUGCCAUGAAUUUUUCCUCAGUGAAAGCAUUGUCACUCUUUUGCAGAUAGGCUUGGCGUACAGGGGAAAAAGGUUAAGUCAGACGGCAAUCUUGAGGUAAACUUUCUUCAGUACGAUCAUCCUUCCUACACGGAAACUAGUACGCCAGUCAUGAAACAGCUAAAAGCAACAAUGUAUAUGCUCUACAUCAACUAUCAAUAUCAAAAUAUUUACCAAAAAAAAAAAAACUAUCAAUAUCAAAACAAUGCAUAGCCCAUUGCAGACAUUUGAAGCAAAUAGAUUGUAAUAAUUUGCAAGUUGUCUAUAUUUAGGGGUGUAAGUGUAUCAAUGCCUCCUCGUUUGUUCAAGUUAACACGCCAAAAAACUUCAAACCUUUGGCUGGGAAACCAACAGAAAAUUGGUGAUGGAUCCCAUACUUAUACAAAUUCAAUUAAAUCAUUAGAAGUUACAGAGCUAAGUUGAUGGAAGAAACAAAAGCCUUGUAUCCAUCAUAGCGAUGGAUUCAACAGCAAGGUUGAUUACCAGGUUAACCAACCUAAUAUUCUGUCGGUCACUUUAUUAACUUUUUUUCAUGACCAAAAAAGACAUUCCCAGCAUGCAAUUAUGCAUAUUAUGGCAAUCAACAAACAAUCACACAGAGUAAAUACCAAAGUGACUAAUAAGGGCGUAUUUGAUAACGCUUCUGUUCCCAAAAAUAAUUUCUGAUUAUAAAUGAUUAUUUUUUAUUAUGUUCUCAGAAACAAUUUCUAAGCAAAAGAAAGCGUUUGGUAACUGCACAAAAUUUUUUAUUCUUGAAUAGAAUUGUGUUUGAUACCGUACUUAAAAUUUUUACUCAUAAUUAUUUUCUUUUAAUUUUUAAAUAAUUGUAUUUCUUUUUUUUCUUUUCAUUUUUUUCUUUUUUCCCUUUCUUUCUCCUCUUCUUCUUCUUCAAAUCAUCGGUCGCCAGCCUUGGAAUGACUAGUGACCGGUGACCUCACUAGAGCAUCGUUGGCCGAGCCUCGAUGGGGCUGGCCAAGCCUUGCUGGGAUUGGGCGAGCCUCACCGAUGGCCAGGGGAGGCCCGAGCGAGGCCCGCCUUGCAAAUGGCUAGGCUUGCCUCCAACAAGCUCGCCAGACCGGUUGCCGGCAACUAGCGGCAAUGGGUGGCAGACGGUAACUGCGGUGGUAGCAACAGAUGAAGAAGAAGAAAUAAGGAAGAAGAACAAGAAAAAAGAAAAGAAAAAGAGAAAAUAGCUGCUUGAUUCUAGAUUGUUCCUAAGAAUAAGAAUCGACUUUCUUUUUAUUCUUGAUUCUACUCCAAAUCUAUUUCGGAGAACAAAAAUUUUACCAAACGCAAUUCUAUUCCAAAACUACUCCCGAGAACAAAAAAAUAGAAAUAAACGCUGUUUGACAAGUAAACAAACAGGCCCUAAUAGAUUAUGUGAAGUUAUCCUUUAAAAAAGUUGUUCAUCCUAUCAUUUUUAGCAGAAUCUUAUAAAGUUCACAAUCAUGCAUCCCAAACAAUGUAGGUUUGGGCAGGUCCCCUCACCGCAAACAAGGUAGCAGUGGUUCUAUGGAACAGAGGUUCAUCGAGAGCUACAGUCACUGCCUCUUGGUCUGACAUUGGUCUCCAUUCUACAACAGUAGUCAAAGCAAGAGACUUGUGGAUGGUGAGACUUCAAAGCCAAACAUAAUUGUUUAUUUGAUGAAGAACUAAGCUCACAGAAAAUUACUCAAAUUUUGGUGCAGCAUUCCACCAAAAGGUCAAUCAAGGGACAAAUCUCAGCUGAUAUCGACUCCCACGCUUGUAAAAUGUAUGUUGUGACUCCGCAAUAACACGGAGACAUCAGGAAAAAGGAAACAGGGUUGAAGCUGAGGUUGGGCAGAAUUAAAUAUGUGCUAAUUUGAUCCUGUUUCAUCAUUGAUGUAAGAAAUAAAUCAUUAAUAAGAUAUGAUCACCAACUUCAGCAGUCUUCCUAUGGCUCUCACAAAGUAAAACCCGCAGCAACCCCCAACAGCUCCCCCCCCCCCCCCCCAAAAAAAAAGGAAAAAAGGAAAAAAAAAAAGAAGUUAAAGAGUAGAGACUGACAGUUAGCAAGACAAUUGAAGGAAAAAAACAUGGAAGCGAAAAAGAAAUCCAAUGAUAUUAGCAGUCUUCAGAUCCAACCAAGACUCAGUCAGACAUCAUGAAUGGAGGUCCUCUUAUAUCAAAUAUUUCACAGGUUGGCAAAACAACUGCAAGAACAGCAGUCAGUAGCCCUUGUUUCCUCGAAUCCUUGCUCUCAUGUCAACCUGGGCAAAAAAUUAAAUGAGGAGUUAGAGAGGUACAUUGCUUACGAUCAAAUGGUCGCAAGAACCACCAUGUUCAGCUCCUCUCGUGGAAAUCAUAUCAUACUCUUUACGUCCUUGUAGGCUGUACUAUCAGCAAUGAAUUUUCAACAAGUCCACACAUGAAACUUCC